rnacentral:lncRNA from 1 species
CGGGUGGAGCGUGCCUCUCCUCCGCCUUCUUGGGCGAAGGCGUGUACUGCCUGUGCUUGGUGCCGGCCGGCCUCAGGGCGCUCGGACUGCUGGCUCCGUACCUUUUAUUGCAGUGCCUCCCGUGCCAGCCUUCCUUGCAGUGGCACUUGUUGGGCUCAGCACAGGUCCCAUACAGUCCGCAGCCAGGCUCGCAGACAGGCUUUGAACAAAGGUCUCCUUGGUAGCCUUUGGAGCACUUGCAUUUAUUCUUACCCAUACAUUUUC